rnacentral:tRNA from 1 species
GUAGUGAAAAAGGUAAACACAUUCAGCUGCUAAUCGAAAGGUUGGUGGUUUGAGUCCACCC